AACGUGCUUAAUCUACCUUUUAGAUUGGAAUACCCAUUGGAAACAAUGGCUAAUGCCGGAUACGCAUGGAACCGCAUGGUUCCGUUGUGAAAGGCGCUGCAAGGCGCCACUAAAAGAUGAGGGUGCGGAACAUUAGCUAGUUGGUAGGGUAACGGCCUACCAAGGCGAUGAUGCAUAGCCGAGUUGAGAGACUGAUCGGCCACAUUGGGACUGAGACACGGCCCAAACUCCUACGGGAGGCAGCAGUC
rnacentral:rRNA from 1 species